UCGCUGGAUUCGGAGGUGACCAUAAAGCCAGUCUCUGAUGCCUACACACAGACUAUACAGUGUGAUGGAAUACAGGCAAAACUUGAAUGAUUAUGAAAUAGGAUUCUAUCCACUGGCUGGCAUGCUGGAAAGCUUUAUGGUCCUCUUGGCACGUGCUACAGUGGGGACUCACAACAGCUCUAUGACAUCAUUGGAAGAGUGAAGUAAAGUACUGGAUGUUUAACUGUAAAGGAGCUUCUUCAAAUGGGAGAAAAGAUGGGAGAUACAUGCCAACAGUGAGUCCAUGCAGAAGUGGCAUCAUAACUGGUGACUAGAAGUGGAAUAAGAGAUUCUUCCUGCAUCACGACUGCUAUAGCACACAGUCAGAAGGAGCAAGUGACUCACUCACACAGCUGCUUGGAGCUACAAUGCCACACAGCCUUUGUCGACCAGCUAUUCCCUGUGAAAGAAGCCUAGUCAGUUUGACCUCUCUUCUGCAUCUUCUAAACUCUUGGCCAAGAUCUUCUGGAAGAUGCUUUCUCACAUCUGAUUUCCUACAAAGUGCCUGCCACAAUCUCGCCCAUCUCUCGCCAACUGGUAUACUGUCUCUGCUUUCCAAAAUUCUAGAUACUCAACAUCAACUCCUACAGAAGACAAAGAAUUAAUAAGAAGUAUGUCCAGAAGACACUAGCCCCACUCUUCCAACCCCAUCACUGUGCUCAGUAGAUUCCCUGGUUUAUAAUCCAACUGGAAGAACUGAGGCAGGCACUCCUGUAUGCUGGCUCCCCAUAUAUGACCAACCACUCACAUAUAAGGUCGGAUGCUCUCCUUUCUCUCUGUCAUCAAGCCACUGAAUUCAUCAGGAAGGAGUCCUCUAUCAGCUCAAGUGCUUUGAGCUCAUGUGCUCUGGGCUCCCCACUAUUUAGUGGGCAGCUCCAGCAGGCAUUGAAAUAGGCUCUUAUCUCAACUUGAACCCGAAACCUGUGACUCUACUUUAUUCUCCAAAUACAGAAGCCCAAAAACCAAGAAGUAGGAAGGUAAUGUCAGUGAUGUCAGUGGUACAGCACUGCGCAUGGUGUAUGGAUGCAUCCCUCUGCGUUGUAAAGAAGAAAAGUCUUCACUCAGAAGUGGGCACCUGCACUGAAAAUUCAUGGAGUUAGAAUACAGGGAUGCGCCUGAUCCAUUCAAUGGUGCAAGAUUGGAGACAGGAUUCUUCCCCAGAAGAAAACCUUAUUAAGAGUUCCAAUGGAGACUGCAGCCUGACUGAUGGUGCUCACAUUUCUUCAACAUCAGUGAGACCACCCUUGGCACAAGUGAGAAUGUCACAAAAUCUACCUUAUUAUGAGGGUGGACAUGCAAGCUUCAGUCAAAGGCUGUUCUACAGUGAGAAUCUGUGGGAUUCUUCAACGGUGUCUAAGAUGAUGAACAGCAAUGGAAGCCAUGGAAGUGUCCCACAUUAAAAUGAGGGGGAAAGCUGCAAAGGUGGAUACUGGAAAAGAGCAGAAGAUCCUGGGGAUGGUAAUGUCCUCCUAUUUUCAGAAAGCUGCACAUUCUAAGCAUUGCUGGACUUUAGAGAAAAACCCUGAAAAUAUCAAGCAAAUAAGAUCUGUAUCAGCUGGUGAAAUAUA
rnacentral:sRNA from 1 species